ACCGGCGCACGGGUGCGUAACACGUAUGCAACCUGCCUAUAACUCUGGGAUAGCCCGUUGAAAGACGGAUUAAUACCGGAUGACACAUAUUUUUCGCAUGAUUUUUAUGUUAAAGAUUUAUUGGUUAUAGAUGGGCAUGCGUAUGAUUAGUUAGUUGGUUGAGGUAACGGCUCACCAAGACUACGAUCAUUAGGGGUUCUGAGAGGAAGGUCCCCCACACUGGUACUGAGACACGGACCAGACUCCUACGGGAGGCAGCAGUGAGGAAUAUUGGUCAAUGGACGCAAGUCUGAACCAGCCAAGUCGCGUGCAGGAAGACUGCCCUAUGGGUUGUAAACUGCUUUUAUACAGGAAUAACGGACACUACGUGUAGUGUUAUGCAUGUACUGUAUGAAUAAGGAUCGGCUAACUCCGUGCCAGCAGCCGCGGUAAUACGGAGGAUUCGAGCGUUAUCCGGAUUUAUUGGGUUUAAAGGGUGCGUAGGUGGAUGUUUAAGUCAGUGGUGAAAGUUUGUGGCUCAACCAUAAAAUUGCCAUUGAAACUGGAUGUCUUGAGUUCAAGUGAGGUUGGCGGAAUAUGUUGUGUAGCGGUGAAAUGCUUAGAUAUGACAUAGAACUCCUAUUGCGUAGGCAGCUAACUGGUAUGACACUGACACUGAUGCACGAAAGCGUGGGUAUCAAACAGGAUUAGAUACCCUGGUAGUCCACGCCGUAAACGAUGAAUACUAACUGUUUGCGAUAUAUUGUAAGCGGUACAGCGAAAGCGUUAAGUAUUCCACCUGGGGAGUACGUUGGCAACAAUGAAACUCAAAGGAAUUGACGGGGGCCCGCACAAGCGGAGGAACAUGUGGUUUAAUUCGAUGAUACGCGAGGAACCUUACCCAGGUUUGAAAUGUAGAGGCUUUUGGUGGAGACACCAUUUUCAUUUUAUGACUUCUAUGUAGGUGCUGCAUGGUUGUCGUCAGCUCGUGCCGUGAGGUGUCGGCUUAAGUGCCAUAACGAGCGCAACCCUUGUCGGUAGUUACCAUCAGGUAAUGCUGGGGACUCUACCGAGACUGCCAUCGUAAGAUGCGAGGAAGGUGGGGAUGACGUCAAAUCAGCACGGCCCUUACGUCUGGGGCGACACACGUGUUACAAUGGGGAGUACAACGGGUUGCUACUUGGUGACAAGAUGCUAAUCUCUUAAAUCUCUUCUCAGUUCGGAUCGGAGUCUGCAACUCGACUCCGUGAAGCUGGAUUCGCUAGUAAUCGCGCAUCAGCCAUGGCGCGGUGAAUACGUUCCCGGGCCUUGUACACACCGCCCGUCAAGCCAUGGAAGCCGAGGGUACCUAAAGUACGUGACCGCGAGGAGCGUCCUAGGGUAAAAUUGGUAACUGGGGCUAAGUCGUAACAAGGUAACC
rnacentral:rRNA from 1 species